GAGUUUGAUCGUGGCUCAGAUUGAACGCUGGCGGCAGGCUUAACACAUGCAAGUCGAGCGGGGUGAAGUGCUUCGGUACUGAUCCUAGCGGCGGACGGGUGAGUAAUGCUUAGGAAUCUGCCAUUUAGUGGGGGGACAACAUUCCGAAAGGGAUGCUAAUACCGCAUACGUCCUACGGGAGAAAGCAGGGGAUCUUCGGACCUUGCGCUAAAUGAUGAGCCUAAGUCGGAUUAGCUAGUUGGUGGGGUAAAGGCCUACCAAGGCGACGAUCUGUAGCGGGUCUGAGAGGAUGAUCCGCCACACUGGGACUGAGACACGGCCCAGACUCCUACGGGAGGCAGCAGUGGGGAAUAUUGGACAAUGGGCGGAAGCCUGAUCCAGCCAUGCCGCGUGUGUGAAGAAGGCCUUUUGGUUGUAAAGCACUUUAAGCGAGGAGGAGGCUACCUGGAUUAAUACUCUGGGAUAGUGGACGUUACUCGCAGAAUAAGCACCGGCUAACUCUGUGCCAGCA
rnacentral:rRNA from 1 species